AAAAAGAAUAAGAGAAAAAAUAAAAAUGAAACCAACGACAACAAGUUUGAUUAUGUUGUCGUUGCCGUCUUAUUGGUUUUGGUUUUGUAUUAUUCGUUAUUUUUUCUUUCCGUGAAUCAGUAUUGUACAAUGACCGUCGAAAAAAGACAGACGGAAAAACGAUUUCCAAUUCCUGCUAUCUACCGCAGCAUAUGUAUGGUGACGUCGAUGACGAUGGUAUCAUGGUUUGAAAAUUAUUAUUGUCUCUUGAUAUAUCCAAGGAGAGAUAAUAAAUAACGAGAAACUUCCAUGAAGCCGUUUUUCCUUUUGUA
rnacentral:ribozyme from 1 species